rnacentral:rRNA from 1 species
UACAGAGGGUGCGAGCGUUAAUCGGAAUUAUUGGGCGUAAAGGGCAUGUAGGUGGUGAUUUAAGUCUGAUGUGAAAGCCCUGGGCUUAACCUGGGAAUGGCGUUGGAAACUGAGUUACUAGAGUCGGACAGAGGGCUGUGGAAUUUCCGGUGUAGCGGUGAAAUGCGUAGAGAUCGGAAAGAACACCAGUGGCGAAGGCGGCGGCCUGGGUCCAGACUGACACUGAGGUGCGAAAGCAUGGGGAGCAAACAGG